ensembl:lncRNA
GUGAGUUGCCCACAGGCCAAGUGGUGGCUGUAGGAGGUCAUUGAGUUCAAGCCUCCUUGUUGGGACUGCAACCAGGAAGAAGCCUUUUGGGGUAGAGGAGGUUAUAGAAUAAGAGAUCAGGGAGGGGCUGUCUUAGGGGCAGUCAUAAAGAGAUCCGGGAGAAAGCUCAUCGCCCUUGUCAAGGAAAUGCUUCGUGGACCAGUCCCUGAAAGGCCUCUGAAGAAUCCCACGUGUUCUCACAAUAGAGCAGGCCUGCCACUCACAACUCACCGUCCCCUAGUAUUCCACGGCAGCAGACAGAAGAUGCCCCCCUUUCCACUGCCAGCCUUCUCCUUGCGGCUCCCUGCAACAUACCCCCACGCUGCAGAGCAGACUCAGCUCAGAAGGGAGGGCGCAGGCUGCGAAGGACGCGAAACUGAAGUUUCUAAUUCGGCUGGGCUUUUGGCUACCUGGAAGUGAGCCUUUAGUGCCAAGGUCUUCUCCAGGUACGCAAAUGACAUUUAAAGGCCACACUGAAUUGAAUUCCUGAAGGGAUAUCCUUCUCAAAGAAAAUUUAUGUCCAGAAUUAUAAAACCUGAAUGCAAAUGACUAAGAUAAAGCACAACAUAUCUUGUGUCCCACUUGUCAAAAACUUUGUCAAGGAGAUUUUUGACUAAAUGACUCAUUCUAUAUGCAUGUCCUCUACCACAUACCACUCUAAAGAUACAUGUGAAACAGAGGCACAAAUGAGCCCACGAACAGAGGUCCAGUACGUGCCUCACACGGAUGCAUGUAUACGGGAGUGUGAAAUUUGCCAUAUAUGAUGGAAUG